rnacentral:rRNA from 1 species
AGUGAACGCUGGCGGUAGGCCUAACACAUGCAAGUCGAACGGCAGCACAAUAAGAGCUUGCUCUUACGGGUGGCGAGUGGCGGACGGGUGAGGAAUACAUCGGAAUCUACUUUUUCGUGGGGGAUAACGUAGGGAAACUUACGCUAAUACCGCAUACGACCUACGGGUGAAAGCAGGGGAUCUUCGGACCUUGCGCGAUUGAAUGAGCCGAUGUCGGAUUAGCUAGUUGGCGGGGUAAAGGCCCACCAAGGCGACGAUCCGUAGCUGGUCUGAGAGGAUGAUCAGCCACACUGGAACUGAGACACGGUCCAGACUCCUACGGGAGGCAGCAGUGGGGAAUAUUGGACAAUGGGCGCAAGCCUGAUCCAGCCAUACCGCGUGGGUGAAGAAGGCCUUCGGGUUGCAAAGCCCUUUUGUUGGGAAAGAAAAGCAGCAGGUUAAUACCCCGCUGUUCUGACGGUACCCAAAGAAUAAGCACCGGCUAACUUCGUG